UACGAAGGGGGCUAGCGUUGUUCGGAAUCACUGGGCGUAAAGCGCGCGUAGGCGGACCUGCAAGUCGGGGGUGAAAGCCCGAGGCUCAACCUCGGAACUGCCUUCGAUACUGGGACGCUUGAGUAUGGUAGAGGUUGGUGGAACUGCGAGUGUAGAGGUGAAAUUCGUAGAUAUUCGCAAGAACACCGGUGGCGAAGGCGGCCAACUGGACCAUUACUGACGCUGAGGCGCGAAAGCGUGGGGAGCAAAUAGG
rnacentral:rRNA from 1 species